rnacentral:misc_RNA from 1 species
GAGAGAGAGAGAGAGAGAGAGGCUCAUGGAUGAAAAAGUAGUUGACAUUUGGAUUCUAAUGCUUACGCUUCAAAUCCUUAGGAGUAUCAAUUCAUGUGUGUGUGUGUUUGUGACUUUGUGUAUAUUAAUGACUUGUGUGAUUGCUCCUAAAUAAAUCUUGACCAUGAAUGGCAAUCAUUAUGUUUUAUAUGGGGAAAUGUAGUUUUGUACCGAGUACCUUUACUGCAUACAAUGUAAAAGGUGUCUGAAAGUGAUAGUGAUCAAACUUAUAUUAUUGUGUGGGGAAAAGUAUUUUUGUACUGGGAACAUGUACCAUGUACCACAUCAAUGGUCUUUCGAAUUACCUUGGCUUGGUCCCACCAAAGGUAAAUGUCUCAUUCUUCUAGUCCAGUGCUGGACCUUAAGGCCUCUUCUCUACCGUUCAGACUCUCAAUGAAUGCUCUGCUUACUCGGUUUCCAUAUUAAGAGAAGUCUUCUAGACAACAUAAUCAUUUUUUAGUGGUCUUGAGAAUCUUAUGGACUAUUGGACUUGUUAAUUGGUAUUGGUUUUUUUCUUUUAUUUAUUUUUUUUAUAUGCAUGUUGAAAUUUGUGCAAACUGCAAUGACGUUGGAGUCUGGUGUUGUUUGAUUGCUACUGGAUUCAAAAUGGGAUACAAUCACAUUAAUUAACCACUGAUGAUUCAUCAUGUUGGUCUUAAUGAUAAUAAUAUCUGACAUCGUUUAUUUGUUGAUUUGCUUGAAGGACGAAGCUCCUCAUCUUGUGA